rnacentral:SRP_RNA from 1 species
GCCGGGCGCGGUGGCUCACGCCUGUAAUCCCAGCACUUUGGGAGGCCGAGACAGGCGGAUCACGAGGUCAGGAGAUCGAGACCAUCCUGACUAACACGGUGAAACCCUGUCUCUACUAAAAAAUACAAAAAACUAGNNNNNNNNNNCUAGUUUUUUGUAUUUUUUAGUAGAGACAGGGUUUCACCGUGUUAGUCAGGAUGGUCUCGAUCUCCUGACCUCGUGAUCCGCCUGUCUCGG